UACGUAGGGUGCAAGCGUUGUCCGGAAUUAUUGGGCGUAAAGAGCUCGUAGGCGGCUUGUCGCGUCUGCCGUGAAAGCCCGUGGCUUAACUACGGGUCUGCGGUGGAUACGGUCAGGCUAGAGGCUGGUAGGGGCAAGCGGAAUUCCUGGUGUAGCGGUGAAAUGCGCAGAUAUCAGGAGGAACACCGGUGGCGAAGGCGGCUUGCUGGGCCAGUUCUGACGCUGAGGAGCGAAAGCGUGGGGAGCGAACAGG
rnacentral:rRNA from 1 species